rnacentral:lncRNA from 1 species
UGUGAGAUGACUAAUGUGAAGACAUCUUUAGACAAGCAAUUAUUUACUUCCUACUUGAUAUGUACUCAUAAUUUGAAUACUCGCUUUAAAGGUACUUCUCGGCUUUAAACACUACUCAAUUAUCUAUGUGGCGUUAAGAUUGCCUGCCCUCACUCCGCACCGCCAACAAAGAAGUCCCCGGUAACACACCCAAGAAGCAGAUUCAGGAUCCCUUCUCUUCAUUUGGAAUCAUCUGGAGUUGAACAGCUCUUGAGCCGGGGGGCACUUUUUUGCUGUUAAUACAUUUGUCUUUGUGACAAACUGAAGCCACUUGGCCUCCAGGUGGAGCUGCAUGAAAGAGAGAAGUGAAAAGAGGAAAAAGAUAGGUUGGUGUCCCAGAGAAGUAGAUAGCCCGAGAAAGACUCAACGAAACCAAGAUGGUACCUGGUCCUCGGGGGAUUUUCUAGGAAAAGAAGUCACAUGCAGAUUGAUUCAGCCAGUUUAAUUCCACAAGAAUUCGAAGAGACUGCCCGUGUGCUCAGCCAGCCCCAGUGUCCGAUGCAAGAGAAAUGAGACACGGUCCCCAGGGAGCUGGCAGUCUGGGAGUGGCAGCACACAGGCACGGAGGAAGGACAUCAGGAGACCAUGUGUCAUUCAGCGGCAAAACGGUGAUGCAGCUCAGGACGUGGCUUCAGAGCUGGGUCAUCUGUCUUCUCCUGCACAUGGACAGUGGAGAUUCAGACUCCAGGACUUACACCAGUGCCCACUCCUCCUCAGCCUCCUGACUGAAUCACACCACCAACUUUCCUGUUUCUCCAGCUUGCAGAUGGCAUAUUGUGGGACUUCUCAGCCUCCACAAUCAUG